rnacentral:rRNA from 1 species
UUGGAGGGCAAGUCUGGUGCCAGCAGCCGCGGUAAUUCCAGCUCCAAUAGCGUAUAUUAAAGUUGUUGCAGUUAAAAAGCUCGUAGUUGAAUUUCGGGAUCGGUGGGUCGGUCGUGCCUCCGGUACGCACUGUCUUUACCGGUUCCUCCCUUCUGAAGAACCGCGAUGUCAUUAAUUUGGUGUUGCGGGGAAUCAGGACUGUUACUGUGAAAAAAUUAGAGUGUUUAAAGCAGGCUAAAGCUUGAAUACAUUAGCAUGGAAUAAUGAAAUAGGACGUUUGAUCUUAUUUUGUUGGUUUCUAAGAUCGACGUAAUGAUUAAUAGGGAUAGUUGGGGGCAUUAGUAUUCAAUUGUCAGAGGUGAAAUUCUUGGAUUUAUUGAAGACUAACUACUGCGAAAGCAUUUGCCAAGGAUGUUUUCAUUAAUCAAGAACGAAAGUUAGGGGAUCGAAGACGAUCAGAUACCGUCGUAGUCUUAACCAUAAACUAUGCCGACUAGGGAUCGGAUGAUGUUAAUUUUUUAAUGACUCAUUCGGCGCCUUACGGGAAAC